GGAUUGUGGCUCAGUGGUAGAGCGCUUGCCUACCAUGUGUGAGAUGUGGAGUUCAAUUCUCAGCACCA
rnacentral:tRNA from 1 species